rfam:Tissierella praeacuta DSM 18095 genome assembly, contig: EK13DRAFT_scaffold00002.2
UAGAACUGAUAUUCUAAGAGUGGAAUGAAGGGGUAACGCCCUGAAACGCUCCCCUAAUACUCCUACAUGCUAUGUAAUUUCAUUUUAUGAAAUUGGCUAAAGCAUAGUAUGAAGCUAGGUGAAGUCGGCAGAAAGAUACCGUAAAGUGUAAAAACACUACGAAAGCUGUCCAGAGGUGGAUGGUGUAUCCCAUAUGCCGGGGGUCUAUAAA